GACCAUUAUGUUUUCAAGCCCCUUCCAUUUCCCCUUGGCCAUGAAGGAGAGAACCUCCUGGGGCUGUGUUGUUCCUGGCUGUCUUGGAGUUUCUGUCCCCAGUAUGCUCUGUGUGCUGAAAACUUGUGGAGACUAGUUGACAUCACGGCUGAUGGGGAGUGAGCUAUAGGAAAAACGUGCAAAAACCGUUAUUGUCUAAAGUAGAUGAAGACGACAAAUGUGCAUAAUUAUUCAAUCCCAUACCUAAGACUACCCUUCCAUGGCUGUCAAACUGCAAUGAAACAUCUGGAGGAACAAUCUUGCUCUGCUCCGCACACUGGCCGUUAAUAAGACCAGCAAGUUCAGGCACAAGCUCCAGCUUUCUUAGAACCUCACACUGGUCUUUGCUAUUCCCCCGGUGGAACACAUCGUUCGAAGCAAAAUACUGUGAGGAUCCAGUGAGAGGGUGACCAUCUUUGUCAGCUGGCUUUUUUUUUUAAAUUUCAUCCAAGGCAAGUUGACAUGGACCUUUCCC
ensembl:lncRNA